rnacentral:rRNA from 1 species
CAGUUCGGAUUGUAGUCUGCAACCCGACUACAUGAAGCUGGAAUCGCUAGUAAUCGCGGAUCAGAAUGCCGCGGUGAAUACGUUCCCGGGUCUUGUACACACCGCCCGUCACGCCAUGGGAGUCGGAAAUGCCCGAAGUCUGUGACCUAACCGAGAGGGAGGAGCAGCCGAAGGCAGGUCUGAUGACUGGGGUGAAGUCGUAACAAGGUAUC